rfam:Camelus ferus unplaced genomic scaffold scaffold481, whole genome shotgun sequence.
UGGGGUAUAGCUCAGUGGUAGAGCAUUUGGUUGGUGUGCACGAAGUUCUGGGUUCAAUCCCCAAUGCCUCCG